rnacentral:sRNA from 1 species
AUUAUUAGUUCUUUUCUUUCAUAAUAAGUUAUGCAAUUUACAGCAAAAGAAAUUAGUGCUUAAAUGUUACCACAAAUAACAGAAAAAAAUUCCAAUCAACUAUCGAUAAAAUUGUGAUUGCUUGAUCCGUUAUGAAUGUCAGCAGCCUGUCUGAUUUGGUCACACUAUUCGCGCAAUUCCAAGAAAAACAAAUUAACCAAUAGGCUUUUAGUGAUUGUGAGGAUCCAUUUGUUGCUGAGAGUGAGAAAAGAUUGGCCAAUUCACAGCGAAGCAAGGGACGUAUGACCAGAAAAAUACAAUUAAAAAGCAGGUCCUGUGAAUUCCACUGGGGAGACAGAAGAUUUGAAUGCAGAACAACAAGAAUAUAAAGUUAUGUUACGAUAACAUUCUCCAAUGGAUAACCAACAAACGAAGUACAAACCAACAAAUGUUGAUUUGAAAACACAUCGUUGUCUAUAAUUCAACUUUAUAUAACUAUUCAUGGCGGUUAAAUCGUAUAAGUAUGGGCUUGAUUUCAAAUCAACUUGAAAGUAGUAUACAAAAUGAAAAGAUAUUAAUUCUUGCGAAGUAUCUGCUAGUCGUGUCAUUCGCCAUGAACUCUUAGCCUCUUCAUCUUUUUUUCUUUUUUUGGCUGUUGCAACGUCAACAAGCGAACAAGCUAAAGCGAAUCCCAAAGCUGCUAGUGAGGAUGGAUGUGGAUGGUGGCCAGCACAAGUGCAUCAUCCGGAAAGCAAAGCAAAUGCCCCAUAAAACAAAUGUGCAAAUAAAAAUGUUUAUAAACAGCGUCGACGGCAGAGAGCACUUCACAAUUUUCGGGAUGUGCGCGACAGCGAUUCACUUCGAGGAUUUGGAGGCGAAGAUGGUGGGUUAGAGUUUUGGUUGGAUUGCGUUGGAGGACUCUCGCGGGAGAAGUCAGCUUUUGCAAAGGAAGGGGGAGCAACAGGAUAAGCUGGUAAUUCAAGCCAGAAGGUCACAAAUUAAGUCAACAAAAUCGGAGAAACCGCAAAGAUUUGUGAAAGAGGAAGGAAAAGACCUUCAAACUUUAUAAUUGAAAGUUGCGCGCCAUAAACGAUGGGUUGUCACUGAAUAAAAUUUAAAUGAUUUUCUAAAUAAAAACUGAACUUUCGAUUAACGCAAUUGUAAAGUAAUUAUACCAGUUAUCAUUUAAAAAUCAUCUCUAAGCAAGAUCAUUUGAAGCAAAAUGAAAAUUGAAGCCACCGGAAUGUCAUUUUCAUACACUUGCGCUGCACUGAGGGUCACGCAUUUUAAUUUGCCUGCCCUCCAUUUACAUUUUCGACCUCCCCGCAAUUGAGGAUACCGGAAUAAUUGCCUCAUAGCCGCAGUGUGCCCAGAAAUUGCUUUAUUGACAUUGCGGUCCUCCAUCUCCUGGCCCGAAAAACUCAAUCAGAUUUCCGUUGACUGAUAAAGUGACCAAAAAGUGUCUUUGAUUUACAUGGGAUGGGAGGAGCGGAACCUUUGCCGUACGCCGGAACCUUGCCACAAAAUUCGGAGUGCGGUGUGUGGUGUGUGUGGCAUGUGGCGGCUGGGGGCUUGAGGUAGGCGUGGCAGGCCAUGAGCUCUGGCGAUUAUAAAUGACUCUGGCUGUGAAGGGCUGCCGCAUCCACAUUCCCAUCCCUCAUUCAUCCUCCAUCCUCCAUCCUCGUUGUCCCUGUCUCGGCGAUGGCCUUGAAGUAUGCUACACAAAAUGUUCGCACAUAAUUAAGUGCUUUCAACUAUGGCAGCCGCAGCUGUUGCCAUCCUAGCCUCUCAGUGUGUCCUGCAGUCCAAAAGUCCGAGCUGCCGGGCAGGCGAGUAUCCCCAUCCUUAUGCCAACAUCAAGCGUCCAAUGCGAUUCUAUUUUUUUUUUUAUUAAACAGCCGAGCAGGCCGCAUGUGGCAUCUGGCAACUCAUGGCUUUGAAGCUGCUCAAGUGGCCAGCAAAAAUGAACUGGCCAAAAACCGAAUUGGUCAGCGGCGGCAUGACUGACGAUUUGAUUGCCCGGCCAAACACGCUGAAAUACACAUCGAAAAAAGAUCACCAAAUAGUUUUAAUGCGCCAUUUGAAAAGCAAAAUUCGUGUGAAUACUUUCAUUAAAAAUACUAUAUAAUAUAUAAUAUUUAUGUACUUAGUUUCCAUUGAGUUCUUAUAGCGACGCAAAGAUUACCGUGAGCUUUUGUUUAUUAAAUUGUGUGUAAACCAUUUACUUUGCAUUUCCCUAGAUCUUUUAUUAUCAUAAGUAACUCAGUGAGAGAGUACAGACUCAUCUGGGCUUUCAGUAGAGAUGCAAUCCACAUGAUCGCUGCUUACAUCUUGAGCAGCAAAAUCAUGACUUAAUAAUGCCAUUUUCUUCCAUGUACUGGUGGACUCCAUGGAAGACCAUGAAUGUGGGUCCAUGGAGCAACAACAUUCGGAAGCGGAAAUGAAGGCAUCCAUUAUGUAUACCCUAACAGAGGGCACAAUAGGGCAUUUGUCAACUGGACGCAACUGGAGUCACAAAGAGGAGCAGAGUCCGAUUCCGAUUCCGAUGCCUUGUCCGGAAUUGAGGGUCAGAGGUCAGAAGUGGCUGCAUUGUUGUCUUUUCACCUUUGAAUAUGCACCGAUUGCAAGACAUUUUGCAGUCGACAAAGUGGGAAAAUGCCAUGGAACCAAAUCGUUGAUGCUAUGCGGCAACUGCAAUUCCUUUGACUUCCAGGGUAUGCUCGUCUUCGCUUUCAACUUUUACUCUACGGAUUUCUUUAGUCACUUCCUUACGCUCUUUCUUCUGUUAAUAAUAUUCAAAUAUAAUGCAAACAAUGUGCCAGAAAGUCGACGCAAAGUUGUCGCUUCAGUUGUCGGGGCAAGCGGAGGCGGAGCCACGCCCCCUGCCGACCGACAUCGCUCAUAGUUUUCACUCAACUGUUUGCAUUAAUUUGAUUCCUUUUUGGUCUGUUGCCGUCGCCGCUCUUGCGGCUCGUUUUGUAUUGUAAUAUCCGGCCGCUUUGGCCGCGC